GGUACAUUCUGAGGGAGGACGAUGAGACCUGCCUAGCUCGUGCACGUUUGUGUUACUAUAUCACUUUUACUAAUUUUCAGUCGUCUGAAAAUGAAUUGGUCUCAGGUCGUUUUUUAGUCCGUCCGAUUUCGCACAAAUCUUAUCGCCUCGUUUGUCUUCAGUAUCGUGUCCCCGGGGUGGUUCUGUCGGCUUUCGGGUUCGCGGGUCUGCAACGGGUAUAGCCUUUUCGAAUUUUCUAUUCAGUCUUGUGGGGCGGUGGCUAGGAGGGGAUCGGUGGGGGUUGGCCGAGGUGGGGCGGAGACGGCGGAGGGAAGGCGAGGGGAUCCUCCGGUGAUUAGUAGCGGAGAUGGCGCGCGGCGAGUCUCCCCAGGGGGCUGCAGGUGGGAGAGAUGCUGGCCUGGAGAGGAGCUUGGCGGAGCUGCCCCGUUGUGCGCGCCACAAGCAAGCUCCAGUCGGUGGAGGCGGCAGUAGUCGGCGGCGCCGGUGGGGCUCAUCCGCGCAUGGCAUAGUCGAUUUUUUUCCAUCAUGUUCAAGUGGAUGUUUUUCUUAGUGUGUGAAGACAGAUUUUUUAGGUAUGCUUUGCUUCAGAUUUUUUAUGGUAUACCCAGCAAUCAGAUUUCUUAGGGUCAGCCUAGGUUAUGUAUACGCAGUCUAGUUUUUUUUCUCUGGGAAUUGGAAAGCCAGCUCUGUUUGUUCAUUUUUUAGUUGUCGAUAGCUAGAAAAAAAUUAUGUUCUAACCCAAAGAAAAGGCCUCCGUGAUUUCCUCUUGUUGGUCAGAUUUAGUCAGUCGAUCAGAUCCAUUAAUGUUUCACCCAGAGCCAUCUGAUAAAGCUUUCAAUGCAUUUUUUGUUUCUAUAGUUGAUCAUUUUUUAGCCAUGUUUCCCUAUAAAGCAAAACUUCUUCAAGUUAAGUUCAUUGUUGAGUUUAAGUUCAAUCAUUCUUACUUCAGUAUACCGACAAACAGUUUUUCCCUAUUCACCAUGUGCCUUAUAGAUGGAGUACCAAAUCUGCAUGUCUGACGACUAUAGAGGCCACAAAGCAACUGGCAGAUCAUUUUUGGAAUACGUUUUGGGAGCAGGGGGCAUCAUCACUGCUGUUUACAUGACCUCCAAGGACGGCGUAUCAGCUUCAACAAUGGUUGAAGGAAUUUCUCAUGGAGAAGAACCUAAGGGUCGACACCUCUAUGAAGAUUACUAUCAGGCCCAACGACUCUGGAGAACUUGUUGAGUCUUUGGGAGCUUUCCCUAGUGCUUAAGUUUUCCAUCUUUAGCAGAUCGUUUAUUCUGCAUAUGUCUUAUAGAUUCAUUUAUAAGUCUAGCAAUAAACACACACACACACACACACACACACACACACACAAGAGAAGUUUGGCUCUUUCACUCACAUAAAUAUUUCUCUGUCAGUUUCGACACAAGUUUCAAGGUAUAAAAAAUAUGAAUCAAUUUUUCAUCCCUCCCUUUGACCUGCAUGAACGCAUCUUCUUGGCUUCCAAAUUUCCAAUGCACAUAUCUUGCAUAUCCUCAUUCGCACUGCUAUUCACCUGUAAAAUUCAGUCUUUUCAGAUAUAGUAUGAACUCAAGAACAUAUAUGUGAUGAAGAAGCAGUAAGCAUGAAACCAAGAAGAUGCAACAACUUUAGUUUUAUUCUGUAGCUUUCUCCUGGUACUCAUUUCUUUAGUGUUAGGUUUGUUAGCUAUUUAGUAUUGUUUUUAGUCCAAAGUCUCCAUGUAUUCUCUAUUCUCAGCCUCCGUGGUUUCAGUAUUUCAGUGAUUACUCUUCAUUCUUCAUUGAUUUAUUCUCUAUUGUCUCAUGUUUUCUUAGUCAUCCUUUUUCUUAGUCAUUCUGAUUUAGUCAGUUUUGAGUUCUCAGCCUUCAUUUAGUCUUCUUGUCAAUCAUCCAUUAUUUUUUUCCAGAUUGUCUAGUUAUUCUGUCCAGUUAUUUCAUUGAUUAGUCUUCAUUUUAUCAGUUUUUCUAGGACGAGUUUGUCUAUGUAUUUUCAUUUUCAUUGUUUAUUCUUUAGUAUCUCAGUUCUAGUUUCAGUUAUCAUUGUUAUUAUCAUUAGGCUCCGCCACUCAGUCUUUGCUCGGGUUUAAGUUUAUUAAACUCACUUCUCAGUCUUGUGUUUCAGUUAUCAGUGUUUCAUUUUACUUGUCAUUCAGAAUUUCUUUGUGUGCUAGUUGUUGUCUGUCUUGAGACAUUGUAUGGGUAGAUUCAGUCCUUCAUUUUUUGUUUUCCACUCUUACUCAUUCCUUUUAGUUAUCUUUGUCUUUUAUCCCAAAGUCUUCAGUUAUCAUUCAUGUUGUUAUUUCAGUCAGUCAUUAUUGUGAAUUCUCAGUUCUCAUUUUUUUUCUUCAGUCUUCACUGUUAGCUGAUUUGUUCAGCCUCAAGGCAUAGCUACCUUUGUUUCAGUCUAUCUACUCCCUCCGUCCCAUAAUGUAAGACGUUUUUUGACACUAGUGUAGUAUCAGAAAGCGUCUUACAUUAUGGGACGGAGGGAGUACCUUUUUAGGUUUCUAUCAGAAUGAGUUUCUUUGUUGAUCUGUAGACAAUUUUCUUAUUUAACAGCCAGGGUUUUGUGUUUUGUGUUUUUCAUUCUUUGUAUCUCAUUAUUUUCAGUCCUUUCUCCAUUUUGUCAUUGUUCACUUAAUGUCCAUUGAUCAUUUCAUCAUUUCUCGUUGUUUAGUUUUUGUAUCUCAUUAUUUAUAUACGUCAUUAUUUCUCAGUGAGGGGCGCAAAUUUCUCAGUUUUUGUAUGCCAGUACUCGGUUAUUUGUCCUCUGUAUUUUGCUGAUCCAUUUAUAUUUAUGUAAUAUUCCUUAGUGUUUGUAUCUCAUUAUUUAUAUAAGCAUAUAAGCUUACAGUUUCUCUAGUAUUGCAGUCUUGAAGUUCAUAUUCCUCACUCACUGUGCGGUUUUUAUUCAGCAUUGAUUCAUCAUCUUUUAGUUUUUAGUAAAGUUAUUUAGUCCAUGUUUUGUAUUGAGCAGCAUGAGCAGGUGAUGUACUGUGAAGACUAAGUAGUUUCUUCAGUUACUUUUUGUCAUUGUCUAGCAUGAUCAGUUGUUCCUUUCUAUAAGUCAAAAUUCAUUUUACUUGUUGCGUUUUCGUCAGUCUCUGUUUUUUUCAUGUACUUCUUAGUUUAUGUUUAGCUCUUUUUAGUAUUACCUUUUACCAAGGGAAGUUGCCUCUAGCCUGGACACCGGAGAGAAGGGGCUUGUGGAAUGUGAUCUACAGUAUAGCUGCAUAUGACACCGCCCCUAAUGACCGCAUCGUCUUCAAGAGUGGAUGGAGAGAGUUUCCAGCAAGAAUAAGUGUUGUUGAUGUUGGAACAGCUGUACUAUUCACUUUCAAGAUCAGUGCUCAUGAGGAUAUUGGAGAUGAUAGUCGUUGUCCAUGUCCUCACGGCGGGUGCCUGAGUCUACUAGUUGACAAGCUUCAGUCGAGUUGGAUCUCAAUUUUCAUUAGCUUUGCACUAGCGUAGCCUUUCUCUAUCAUGUCACUUUUUGUGUGUUUAUCUGCAUGUACUGAAUCUAUAUAAUGUGUGCUUUGCACAUGUGGCAUGAUACCACCAGAACCUACUGCAUAUGUACCUAUGUUGCAUUGGUUCCAGCUUUUUGGGUUGGCAGUUAUAUAAGUUAUUGCAUGUCUAUUUUA